AGUGAACGCUGGCGGUAGGCCUAACACAUGCAAGUCGAACGGCAGCACAGUAAGAGCUUGCUCUUACGGGUGGCGAGUGGCGGACGUGUGAGGAAUACAUCGGAAUCUACUUUUUCGUGGGGGAUAACGUAGGGAAACUUACGCUAAUACCGCAUACGACCUACGGGUGAAAGCAGGGGAUCUUCGGACCUUGCGCGAUUGAAUGAGCCGAUUUCGGAUUAGCUAGUUGGCGGGGUAAAGGCCCACCAAGGCGACGAUCCGUAGCUGGUCUGAGAGGAUGAUCAGCCACACUGGAACUGGGACACGGUCCAGACUCCUACGGGAGGCAGCAGUGGGGAAUAUUGGACAAUGGGCGCAAGCGUGAUCCAGCCAUAGCGCGUGGGUGAAGAAGGCCUUCGGGUUGUAAAGCCCUUUUGUUGGGAAAGAAAAGCAGCAGGUUAAUACCCCGCUGUUCUGACGGUACCAAAAGAAUAAGCACCGGCUAACUUCGUG
rnacentral:rRNA from 1 species